AACCUCGCCCUCCCUCCCCCGCACGCGGUUUCCACUCGCUUCGUCCCCUGCAGAUCGCCUCGUCCUCGACGCGCUCACCCUCAGGUCAACCACACCCCACUCCCCUCCACCCCUUCUUGAAGCGAAUUCCACACCCGCCUCGGGCCUCAUCAGAUCUCACUUCCCGUUCUUGGCUUCGUUUCGACCUCCUCUGGCAGCGAGCAUGUCUUCGUCGGAGAACCCCACGGUGACUGAGCGCGGCAGCCGCGACGACAAGCACGAGGACGGCGACAAGAAGGAGGGCGGCGGCGGCUUCAUCGAGAAGGUCAAGGACUUCAUCCACGACAUCGGCGAGAAGAUCGAGGAGGCUGUCGGCUUCGGCAAGCCCACCGCCGACGUCUCCGGCAUCCACAUCCCGCACAUCAGCCUCCACCGCGCCGACCUCGUCGUCGACGUGCUCAUCAAGAACCCCAACCCCGUCCCAAUCCCGCUCGUCGACAUCGACUACCUCAUCGACAGUGACGGCCGCAAGCUCGUCUCCGGCCUCAUCCCCGACGCCGGCACCAUCCACGCGCACGGCGAGGAGACCGUCAAGAUCCCCGUCUCCCUCGUCUUCGACGACAUCAAGAGCACCUACAAGGACAUCCAGCCGGGGAGCAUCAUCCCAUACCUCGUCCGCGUCGUCCUCCUCGUGGACGUCCCCAUCAUCGGCCGGGUCAAGAUCCCGCUCGAGAAGUCCGGCGAGAUCCCCGUCCCCUACAAGCCCGACGUCGAUGUUGAGAAGAUCAAGUUCCACCACUUCUCCUUCGAGGAGACCACCGCCACGCUGCACAUCAAGCUCGAGAACAAGAACGACUUCGACCUCGGCCUCAACAUGCUCGAGUACGAGAUGUGGCUCGGCGACGACAGCAUCGCCUCCGCCGAGCUCACGCAGAGCGCCAAGAUCGAGAAGCAGGGGUUCACCAGGAUGCAGAUCCCCUUCAGCUUCAGGCCCAAGGACUUCGGAUCCGCGGUCUGGGACAUGAUCAGGGGCAGGGGGACAGGCUACACCAUCAAGGGCAAGAUUGAUGUCGACACUCCCUUUGGGAACAUGAAGCUGCCCAUAAGCAAAGAGGGUGGAACUACUCGCAUCAAGAAGGACGACGACGACGACGACGAUGAUGACAACUGAGGUACCAUCAGCUUCCUUCUGGUCCUACUGCUGCUGAUUGAUUAAUCAUCAUUGCUUCACCAGACUGAAGUGCUGCUGUAACCAAACACAGAUGGCAGUGAAGUGGAGAGGAUGCUGUAACGGGUGCAGUCGCCUGCCUGACACCCUCAGCGCUAGUUGAGCUCUGCAUUGUCUUGGUAGCUUCGUGUUUCUGUCGAUCUGCAUUGUCUGAACAUCCUCUGUUAGUGUGGACUCGUCUGUGCUGUGAAUUCCUUCUCCAAACUUUUGUGGUUGGAGCAUGAAGAAUAAGUUCCCAUCACCCCUGGUUCUUUGUGGGGCUCGUUGGGAGUGUUGCGCCGCAGCCA